UACGUAGGGGGCAAGCGUUGUCCGGAUUUAUUGGGCGUAAAGAGCGUGUAGGCGGCCAGCCAGGGCCGUUGGGAAAACUCGAGGCUCAACCUCGAGAUGUCGAUGGAAACCGUCUGGCUAGAGUCCGGAAGAGGAGUGUGGAAUUCCUGGUGUAGCGGUGAAAUGCGCAGAUAUCAGGAAGAACACCUAUGGCGAAGGCAGCACGCUGGGACGGUACUGACGCUGAGACGCGAAAGCGUGGGGAGCGAACAGG
rnacentral:rRNA from 1 species